GUAGGUGAACCUGCGGAAGGAUCAUUAAAGAGUAAGGGUCUUCUAGGCCCGACCUCCCAACCCUUUGUUUACCAAACCAUUGUUGCUUCGGCGGGCCCGUCCCAGGACCGCCGGAGGACCGUCAAACGUCCUCUGGCCCGCGCCCGUCGAUGGCCCCUAUCAUUAAACUCUGAACCAAACGUGUCCUGUCUGAGUGAUUAUUAUCAAAAAUUAAAGCAAAACUUUCAACAACGGAUCUCUUGGUUCUG
rnacentral:misc_RNA from 1 species